GAUGACCCAUAGUACCCCAUUCCUUGCUGCAAUGUAAUUAUAUUUACUUACAAGUGUGCUCCUGGUGGUCUUUAACUGAAGGGCACUGACUGGGUCACUGGUGAAGUUCCCCGCAGGAACUGAGUCAGACCCCAUCUCAGGGCCCUGCACAAGAUAGGUACCUGCUCUAAGGCGUGGACCCUCGCCACAGCCCUGGCCCGUCUUGACGGGCGAGGGUUACUGUACUUGUCCCAACCGUACAGAUGAGAAAGCUGAGACUCAGGGCCAGCAACCCGGGUCCCAGCGGAGCGCCCGGCACGCGCCAACACUUCAGCACCAGUCGCGGUGGCCACCACUGUGCGCGGAGAUGGCUGCGACGCGUGCGCAGAUCUCGAUCCCAAACUCCCUCCUACCAGAAUCUGGACCCGAAUCCACCCAUUGUCCGUUUUCCGCUGCCGCUGGAGAGAAUCUCUGAGGUCCCCAGGAGAGCCUGCCUGCACGGAAGAGACGCCUCCUCGGUAUGGCCGCCCCCGGAGAGGAGCGAUUAAGUGCAGACCUCCAUGUUGCUCUUGAGCCUGAGCGGCUUCAGGGAGCCAUGUUUGUUACUGGCGGGCGCCGACCUCACUGAGCAUGUGCAGCCCUGGCCGGGCGGCCUCAAAGUUCUGACAUCACAGGGCGGUUCCUGAAGUGGACAUAGUUGUAAGAGCUAGUUAUUUUAGACAAUGCCUCUGUGAUCAGGGACUCUAAUCUGGAAAUAGGUAGUCGGAGAGGUCGGUGAUGCAGUCUCUGGAUCAGAGACCUGAGCUAUAUGGGGUUAGAGAGGGGCCCUGGGCAGGCGAGUCUCUGGGGAGUGUGGUGAGAAUCCUUGUGUAAGAUGCUGGGAGGAGGUGGGGUCAGGGCUGGGGUCCGUGGGCCGACGGGUUGGGGGAUGGCCAGCGUCAGGGAUCAGUAGUAGAGAUUCUAUGUGCCCUGAUCGCCAGUGGAGGUUUUAAAUACAGAGUAUUCAUGAGUUUAGCAAUGUUAUUCGCCUCUCAUUAUUUAAAUAAUUUGAAGUUUUCCCCAAUAACUAGUGUCUUAGAAGUCAUGAAAAUUUCAGAAAAUGACAGGUCUUCUGAGUUCAUGAUGGGAGUUGGGCAGCAGUCGCAUACGAGCACCUGGAGAGUCCUUGCCAGUUCUUUGGGGAUGGGGAGCUCUUAAGACUGCCCUGAGACCGCCCUUUGACCUCAUUGUGGUCCUUUCUAGAUUAAAUGCUGUUUUCCAUGACCGUCUCUGUUCUUCCCAUACGCGAAUGGCAGGCAUUCAGAUCUCCAAGAAUAGAGGAUUAGGAGAGACUCCACCACCUAUGUCCUCACAGUUAAUUAUCGAUUUGUGUCAGUUGCCCAUUUUCUCACUUCCUGUUUGUGUGUCAAGGGGUAUUAAUAAAUCUUUGCCUAUUUAAAGA
rnacentral:lncRNA from 1 species